rnacentral:misc_RNA from 1 species
UCCAAGCGAAAACUACGGACGGCGGUGGAUAUAGAGGACGUGAGAAGGGAAGUGGCGAUCAUGUCCCGCUUACCGGACCACCCAAAUAUAGUGAAGCUGAAAGCGACUUACGAGGACCAUGAAAACGUGCAUUUGGUGAUGGAGUUGUGCGAGGGAGGGGAGCUGUUCGACAGGAUAGUAGCCAGAGGACAUUACAGCGAGAGAGCGGCAGCCAAUGUUGCCAGGACGAUAGCUGAGGUAGUUAGGAUGUGUCAUGAGAAUGGAGUUAUGCA